rnacentral:rRNA from 1 species
GACGUAGGGCGCGAGCGUUGUCCGGAUUUAUUGGGCGUAAAGAGCUCGUAGGCGGUUUGUCGCGUCUGCUGUGAAAACCCGAGGCUCAACCUCGGGCCUGCAGUGGGUACGGGCAGACUAGAGUGCGGUAGGGGAGAUUGGAAUUCCUGGUGUAGCGGUGGAAUGCGCAGAUAUCAGGAGGAACACCGGUGGCGAAGGCGGGAUCCUGGGCCAGUACUGACGCUGAGGAGCGAAAGCGUGGGGAGCAACAGGGAUAA